AACGCUAGCUACAGGCUUAACACAUGCAAGUCGAGGGGCAGCAUGGUCUUAGCUUGCUAAGGCCGAUGGCGACCGGCGCACGGGUGAGUAACACGUAUCCAACCUGCCGUCUACUCUUGGACAGCCUUCUGAAAGGAAGAUUAAUACAAGAUGGCAUCAUGAGUCCGCAUGUUCACAUGAUUAAAGGUAUUCCGGUAGACGAUGGGGAUGCGUUCCAUUAGAUAGUAGGCGGGGUAACGGCCCACCUAGUCUUCGAUGGAUAGGGGUUCUGAGAGGAAGGUCCCCCACAUUGGAACUGAGACACGGUCCAAACUCCUACGGGAGGCAGCAGUGAGGAAUAUUGGUCAAUGGGCGAGAGCCUGAACCAGCCAAGUAGCGUGAAGGAUGACUGCCCUAUGGGUUGUAAACUUCUUUUAUAAAGGAAUAAAGUCGGGUAUGCAUACCCGUUUGCAUGUACUUUAUGAAUAAGGAUCGGCUAACUCCGUGCCAGCAGCCGCGGUAAUACGGAGGAUCCGAGCGUUAUCCGGAUUUAUUGGGUUUAAAGGGAGCGUAGAUGGAUGUUUAAGUCAGUUGUGAAAGUUUGCGGCUCAACCGUAAAAUUGCAGUUGAUACUGGAUAUCUUGAGUGCAGUUGAGGCAGGCGGAAUUCGUGGUGUAGCGGUGAAAUGCUUAGAUAUCACGAAGAACUCCGAUUGCGAAGGCAGCCUGCUAAGCUGCAACUGACAUUGAGGCUCGAAAGUGUGGGUAUCAAACAGGAUUAGAUACCCUGGUAGUCCACACGGUAAACGAUGAAUACUCGCUGUUUGCGAUAUACGGCAAGCGGCCAAGCGAAAGCGUUAAGUAUUCCACCUGGGGAGUACGCCGGCAACGGUGAAACUCAAAGGAAUUGACGGGGGCCCGCACAAGCGGAGGAACAUGUGGUUUAAUUCGAUGAUACGCGAGGAACCUUACCCGGGCUUAAAUUGCAGAUGAAUUACGGUGAAAGCCGUAAGCCGCAAGGCAUCUGUGAAGGUGCUGCAUGGUUGUCGUCAGCUCGUGCCGUGAGGUGUCGGCUUAAGUGCCAUAACGAGCGCAACCCUUGUUGUCAGUUACUAACAGGUUCCGCUGAGGACUCUGACAAGACUGCCAUCGAAAGAUGUGAGGAAGGUGGGGAUGACGUCAAAUCAGCACGGCCCUUACGUCCGGGGCUACACACGUGUUACAAUGGGGGGUACAGAGGGCCGCUACCACGCGAGUGGAUGCCAAUCCCCAAAACCUCUCUCAGUUCGGACUGGAGUCUGCAACCCGACUCCACGAAGCUGGAUUCGCUAGUAAUCGCGCAUCAGCCACGGCGCGGUGAAUACGUUCCCGGGCCUUGUACACACCGCCCGUCAAGCCAUGGGAGCCGGGGGUACCUGAAGUGCGUAACCGCGAGGAGCGCCCUAGGGUAAAACUGGU
rnacentral:rRNA from 1 species